UCCCAGGUGGUACAAGUGGUAAAGAACCCACCUGAAAUGUGGGAAACCCGGGUUCAAUCCCUGGGUUGGGAA
rfam:TPA: Bos taurus chromosome 8, whole genome shotgun sequence.